GUAAACUAUAAAACAAUAUAGUUUGUAUAUUUACAGAUGCAGCAAUAUUACUUUUGUGCUACACACAGGUAUAACACAUUAAAAACAUUUCAAUGUAACAUCAGCAUUUAGCUAAUGCAUGCUAUGUUAUGCACAUUAUGCUGGUCAACGGGAAAUUGGUGUGUGCUAUCGAGAUUGCUAGCUGUAUUUAGACAGCCCUUGCAGUCAAUUGUAACUUAGUUCUUUUUAUGUGUCACACUCUUAUUUGCUUUUCCAUUCAUCUUGCUCUCAAAGUCAUGAUGAAGCCCAAAGCAAGAAGCUGCCCCUAUUGUGGAGCAAGCAUCAUGCCAAUCAGAAGACCUGUGCCAGCUGCUGUGUUUGCCUCCUGCAAAAAAAGUCAUUCAAAGAAAAAGAAAAGGCAGUUGAGCAAGCUUGCUGCCUUUGGCUACAACCCAAUUUUGUUCAUCAGGAAGAAGAAGAAGAGGGUGAACACAGUAAAUGCUGAAAUGAUCACCUACAUGUGCCCUGGAGGGGACGGGCCUGUAAAACCCUUUUUAGAAAAGAUGAGCAGGGCAUAUGAGUACAUUAUUAAAAAUUCUCAAAGGAUGCAAUUGCCAGAAGCUCCCAGCCCAUCUCCAACUCCACAGUCUACCUCCUCUCCCUCCCAACCCUCUUCUCCUCCUCAUCCUCCAGACUCUUCCACCUUUCUCCCAUCUACUUCUCAUCCCCAAAUGGACUAUGAGGAGGAGACUUACACCCUAACCCUCGUCCCUGUCCAGCCUCCAAGCACCGCCUCAGCAUCUCCCUCUCAAAAAACCAUGACUGAAAGUGUGUCUGCACAGUGCUCCCGCUCUCCCACACCUACUAUCUCCCUGACCAGUGCAACAGGUGAAGGGAAGAAAAAGAGGAAGAGAGGCUGCUGA
rnacentral:lncRNA from 15 species